rnacentral:tRNA from 1 species
GCCACGUUAGCACAAUUGGUAGUGCAGCGGAUUUGUAAUCCGAAGGUUAGGGAUUCGAUUUCUCUACGUGGCA